rnacentral:rRNA from 1 species
ACUCUGAGACAGGUGGUGCAUGGCUGUCGUCAGCUCGUGUUGUGAAAUGUUGGGUUAAGUCCCGCAACGAGCGCAACCCUUAUCCUUGUUUGCCAGCGAGUAAUGUCGGGAACUCCAGGGGGACUGCCGGUGAUAAACCGGAGGAAGGUGGGGACGACGUCAAGUCAUCAUGGCCCUUACGAGUAGGGCUACACACGUGCUACAAUGGCGCAUACAGAGGGC